CUUUGACAGUGCCUAGGAUAGCUUUCUGCAGCAAAUGGAACAUGUUGUGCCUCCCAGAAGUGUCAUCUUCAUGUUUGAUGAGGCAUCAGUCCUGCAUUCUGCUCAACUUAUCCUUUUUGGUCUCCUCUGCUCAUCCUUGCAGUUUCCUGUUCUCUGUACACUCAGGAGAGCUGAAACACAGCUCUUCCAUUUUGUUCCUGUUCCCAAGAGCUCAUCCUGUCACUUAAAUACCAUUUAUACACAGUGACUGCCAAGUUCCCCUCCAGGUCUACUCUCUAGACAAUUAUGUCCAGUGGUUUACACCACAUCUCCCCUUGUGUAUACACACCUGCUGUCCUCUGUCCACGCCGGGUAUUCUCAGACUCAGUCGGUCUUCUCUUGGAGGCUUUACCAUCACUCGCCUUCUGUCUGACAUGCCCUUCUCAGAUUCAUGCUUCAUGAUUCACUCUGAUUUCUGCACCAGUGUCAACUACCAUCCUAUUAGUGAGCUAACUACCCUGUAUAAAAUGACAGUAUCCUACCCAGGAGAAGGCAGCACCCUGCAUGGCUUCAUCAUCAUCUGCCAUAUAUAUCUGCUGGAUACCGAAACCUUGAGCUCCCUGAGGGCAGGAACUUGACAGUAACUGUAUUAUCCCCAUGUAGGGCAGAUUUUGGCUCAUAGUAGAGACAAUAGCAUGUUGUUUUCCAUUUGGCUCUGCUUAGUAUGUUUUCAUGAAUUAACCAAAUAUCACUUGGGAAAAUGUUUUAACUUUCUAUCAAACUUGUUGGAUAAAGUAUGUGCACCCAAGGGACCAGCCUUGAAUUUUCCAAUUACCUCAGACAUCUAGGGAGUCUGCUGCCAUGAAGUCUCUCAGAUUACAUCAUCUUUCCCAGGUGUCUUCAUGAGUCAGCGCAGCCCAUUACAUCAAAGCUCAUGAGUCUCGCUUGGAAAGGCUGUUAACAACUGGACCACUUUCUAUAGGUGAAGCUGUAUCACCACAGAAAACUUUGAUUUCUGUAGGACAUCUAGGUUCUGGCUAAUACCUAAGUCACUAAGCAAUAAUAACAAUUCUGUUAUUGGAAGCCUCUAGGGAUGUCAGGAGGGGUGGCUCUUUCUUGGCUUGUAUGAAAAUAGGGUCUUAGCUCAGUGUAUUCCAACUGCUCUAGCAGCUAAAGAUCCAUGGAAAGUCAGAGUGAUCUGAAAAACCCCAAACCCCAUGGCAAGGAAAAAGGAAUUGGAGGCUCUAGAGACUGUCCUAGGAUAGUGUGUUUCAGAACUUUGAGCUAGGCAUACUGAAACAUCAAGAUGCAGCCCUAUGAUGUAAGUGAUGCGGCUGGUGUUACAGCCGAGGAAAAAGGCCUUCCUCUGGGAUACUUUAACAGGGUAAACACGGCUGUCUUGGAAUACAAACACCCAUAUAUCUGCCAGUGCACCAUCCUCUAACCUCCCUGCAAUCACCGUUCAACAUUACUCCAGAGGAUGUGUACCUGUGUCUGUCAAGUGUGGCUGGAUGAAGAGAAUGCCAAUUAGAAGCAGAACAGAGGAAGAGGCAUCCCACUGUGUGUCAGCUCCUACAUUAUUGAGAAGGCAUUCCUUCAUCACUUCCUCAAAACUCUUACAGGUCCAUUUCUGUGAUGAUUCAUUUCAGCUACAAGGUCCUCUAUCACAGCUCUUGCUACCAGGUGACAGUAUUAAUGCUCAUCUCCCCUACUGGAUACACAGACAUCACUAGCAUCUCACUUUGGUGGGAACACUUACUUAACUCAGACACAACUGGGAAGCUUUGCCGGCUUGCCAUCACGACAGGAAAAAUGAAGGGAAG
ensembl:lncRNA